rnacentral:rRNA from 1 species
UACGAACCGUCCAAACGUUAUUCGGAUUCAUUGGGCUUAAAGGGUACGUAGGCGGCGCUAUCAGUCGGGUGUGAAAUCCCUCGGCUCAACCGAGGAACUGCGCCCGAUACUGUAGUGCUUGAGGGAGACAGAGGUAAGCGGAACUGAUGGUGGAGCGGUGAAAUGCGUUGAUAUCAUCAGGAACACCGGUGGCGAAAGCGGCUUCCUGGACCGACACUGACGCUGAGGCGCGAAAGCUAGGGGAGCAAACGGU